rnacentral:tRNA from 1 species
UGGCUCAGUGGUAGAGCACUUGCUUUGCAUGCAUGAGGCCCUGGGUUCAAUUCCUCAG